CCUACGGGCGGCAGCAGUGAGGAAUAUUGGUCAAUGGACGAUAGUCUGAACCAGCCAAGUAGCGUGAAGGAUGACUGCCCUAUGGGUUGUAAACUUCUUUUAUAUGGGAAUAAAAUGUUCCACGUGUGGGAUUUUGUAUGUACCAUAUGAAUAAGGAUCGGCUAACUCCGUGCCAGCAGCCGCGGUAAUACGGAGGAUCCGAGCGUUAUCCGGAUUUAUUGGGUUUAAAGGGAGUGUAGAUGGAUUGUUAAGUCAGUUGUGAAAGUUUGCGGCUCAACCGUAAAAUUGCAGUUGAUACUGGCAGUCUUGAGUACAGUAGAGGUGAGCGGAAUUCGUGGUGUAGCGGUGAAAUGCUUAGAUAUCACGAAGAACUCCGAUUGCGAAGGCAGUUCACUGGACUGCAACUGACACUGAGGCUCGAAAGUGUGGGUAUCAAACAGGAUUAGAUACCCCAGUAGUC
rnacentral:rRNA from 1 species